rnacentral:rRNA from 1 species
UUGGAGCAUAGCCUCGAAAAAUCGGGAUUAAUACUCCAUAACAUUAUGAAGUGGCAUCACUUUAUAAUUAAACCUCCGGGGAUUAAAGAUGAGCAUGCGCAACAUUAGCUAGUUGGUAAGGUAAUGGCUUACCAAGGCUACGAUGUUUAGGGGGUCUGAGAGGAUGAUCCCCCACACUGGUACUGAGACACGGACCAGACUCCUACGGGAGGCAGCAGUAGGGAAUAUUGGGCAAUGGAGGAAACUCUGACCCAGCCAUGCCGCGUGCAGGAUGACGGCCCUCUGGGUUGUAAACUGCUUUUAUACGGGAAGAAAAAAUGCUACGUGUAGCACAUUGACGGUACCGUAAGAAUAAGGAUCGGCUAACUCCGUGCCAGCAGCCGCGGUAAUACGGAGGAUCCAAGCGUUGUCCGGAUUUAUUGGGUUUAAAGGGUGCGUAGGCGGAUCUUUAAGUCAGUGGUGAAAGCCUGCAGCUCAACUGUAGAACAGCCAUUGAAACUGAAGAUCUUGAAUAUGGUUAAAGUAGGCGGAAUGUAUCAUGUAGCGGUGAAAUGCUUAGAUAUGAUACAGAACACCGAUAGCGAAGGCAGCUUGCUGAACCAUUAUUGACGCUGAGGCACGAAAGCGUGGGGAGCAAACAGGAUUAGAUACCCUGGUAGUCCACGCCCUAAACGUUGAUUACUCGUUGUUGGCGAUAUACUGUCAGCGACUAAGCUAAAGCGUUAAGUAAUCCACCUGGGAAGUACGACCGCAAGGUUGAAACUCAAAGGAAUUGACGGGGGCCCGCACAAGCGGAGGAAAUGUGGUUUAAUUCGAUGAUACGCGAGGAACCUUACCUGGGCUUGAAAGUUAGUGACCGCCUCUGAAAGGAGGCUUCUCUUCGGAGCACAAACU